GUCCAAAUCACGUUGAAACACUGGUUAUCAUCCGAUCACCGAAGUUAAGCAACGUUGAGCCUGGUCAGUACUUACAUGGGUGAUCGCUUAGCAAUACCUGGUGUUGUAUG